GCUGAAGGUGUACGCCGAUCGGAUGUCGCAGCCAUCGCGCGCGAUCAUCAUUUUCUGCAAGACAAACAAUAUCGAUUUUGAGGAGGUGCGGGUGGAUCUCCUCAAGGGCCACCACAAAUCCCCAGAUUUCAAGGAAAUAAAUCCAAUGGGGCAAGUUCCGGCAAUUGCUCAUGGAACAUUUACCUUAUAUGAAAGUCAUGCCAUUCUGAGUUAUCUUGCGUGUGCGUUUCCUGGAGUUCCAGACCACUGGUAUCCUGCUGAUCUAUAUCAGAGAGCCAAAAUUAACUCAGUCCUGGACUGGCAUCAUACCAACCUACGCCGUGGUGCAGCUACCCUAGUUCGAAUUAAUGUUCUAGCACCUGCUCUUGGUCUGCCAUCAAACCCAGAAGGUGCAAAAGAA
rnacentral:misc_RNA from 1 species